CUUCUUGGAGAUGCUAGCCUUAGUGUUUAAUUUUUUCUUAGAAACCUUCUUGCCUUACUUCUUGGAGAUCCUAUCUACAAGAAGAGCAGAAGUCUUAUCACCUUUGAAAUGACUCUCUACUAUCUUCAACAUAUUGAGUGGCUCAGGCAGACUGGUGUUCAGUUUGUUCAUAUGAUAGUUUAUGACAAACUAUGAGAAAAAAUUAGAGAGUGACUACAAGAUCAGA
rnacentral:lncRNA from 1 species